rfam:Haloplasma contractile SSD-17B Contig2, whole genome shotgun sequence.
UGAAUCCCACUUAGUAAAGUCUAACCAACAACUAGCACUUAGAUCCUACGCCGAAGCAGUAAUGUAAGGUUUAAGCGUAAUCAAAGGAACAUUCAAGCCGGAAGUGUAUACUGAAGUUAUUAGCCUCGAAAGGCAGAGUUUGGAAAGGUCGAUGGUUUUGGAGAAUCAGAAGACAACAUUGAUUACAUCGUAAAGGUGAGAUGUAAUCAACUUUCCCGGGGUUGUAAGACCU